rnacentral:tRNA from 1 species
GCCUGCGUGGCUCAAUUGGUAGAGCAACUGACUUGUAAUCAGUAGGUUGGGGGUUCGAGUCCCUCCGCUGGCA